rnacentral:rRNA from 1 species
CCUACGGGUGGCUGCAGUGGGGAAUAUUGCACAAUGGGCGCAAGCCUGAUGCAGCCAUGCCGCGUGUGUGAAGAAGGCCUUCGGGUUGUAAAGCACUUUCAGCGGGGAGGAAGGCGGUGAGGUUAAUAACCUCAUCGAUUGACGUUACCCGCAGAAGAAGCACCGGCUAACUCCGUGCCAGCAGCCGCGGUAAUACGGAGGGUGCAAGCGUUAAUCGGAAUUACUGGGCGUAAAGCGCACGCAGGCGGUCUGUCAAGUCGGAUGUGAAAUCCCCGGGCUCAGCCUGGGGACUGCAUUCGAAACUGGCAGGCUAGAGUCUUGUAGAGGGGGGUAGAAUUCCAGGUGUAGCGGUGAAAUGCGUAGAGAUCUGGAGGAAUACCGGUGGCGAAGGCGGCCCCCUGGACAAAGACUGACGCUCAGGUGCGAAAGCGUGGGGAGCAAACAGGAUUAGAUACCCGUGUAGUC